rnacentral:rRNA from 1 species
AUGGCGGCUGCGGAGACGCAGCAGGAACAGUACGCGCCCAAGCCGGCGGCCGAGGGCAGGGGCUACUGGCGGUGGCACAGGGACGACUUCUUCCCGGAGCCGUCGUUCGCGAGCUGGGGCGCGUACCGCUCCGCGCUGGCCGCGACCCCCGCGAGGCUCCGCGACCGCUUCACCGGCCGCUCCACCGACGCCAUCGAGCUCGGCGCGCUGCGGCGCCGCAGCGAGAACGAGAUGCGCCGCUGCCUCACGUGGUGGGACCUCACGUGGUUCGGCUUCGGCUCCGUCAUCGGCGCCGGCAUCUUCGUGCUCACUGGCCAGGAGGCGCACGACCACGCCGGCCCCGCCAUCGUGCUCUCCUACGUCGUCUCCGGUCUCUCCGCCAUGCUCUCGGUGUUCUGCUACACCGAGUUCGCCGUCGAGAUCCCCGUCGCCGGCGGCUCCUUCGCGUACCUCCGCGUCGAGCUCGGCGACGUCGCGGCCUUCAUCGCCGCCGCGAAUCUUAUCCUCGAGAGCAUCAUCGGCACGGCCGCCGUGGCGCGCUCUUGGACGUCCUACUUCGCCUCGCUCAUCAACAAGCCGGCGAGCGCGCUGCGCAUACAGACGUCGCUCAGGGACGGGUACAACGAGCUUGACCCCAUCGCGGUCGUGGUGAUUGCGGUCACCGCCACCAUGGCCAUCCUAAGCGCCAAGGGCACUUCCCGGAUCAACUGGGUCGCGUCCGCGAUACACGUGGUGGUGAUAGCGUUCGUCAUCGUGGCAGGAUUCAUCCACGCCAAGCCGAGCAACCUGACCCCGUUCAUGCCGCACGGCGUGCCGGGCGUGUUCCGCGCGGCGGCGAUCGUGUACUUCGCCUACGGCGGCUUCGACAACAUCGCGACGAUGGCGGAGGAGGUCAAGAACCCGUCGAGGGACAUACCGCUGGGGCUGCUGGGGUCCAUGUCGGUGAUCACGGUCAUCUACUGCGUGAUGGCGCUGGUGCUGAGCAUGAUGCAGCCGUACACGGAGAUCGACCGGAGCGCCGCGUACUCGGUGGCGUUCAGCAGCGUGGGGAUGCACUGGGCGCAGUACGUGGUGGCGCUGGGCGCGCUCAAGGGGAUGACGACGGUGAUGCUGGUGGGCGCGCUGGGGCAGGCGCGGUACACGACGCACAUCGCGCGGAGCCACAUCAUCCCGCCGGUGUUCGCGCUGGUGCACCCCAGGACCGGCACGCCGGUGAACGCCAACAUACUCAUCGCCGCCGCGGCCUGCUGCAUCGGGUUCUUCUCCAGCCUCGACGUGCUGUCCAGCCUGCUCUCCAUCAGCACGCUCUUCAUCUUCAUGAUGAUGGCCACCGCGCUCCUCGUCCGUCGGUACUACGUGAGGGGCGUGACGACGCGGACGCACGCGCUGCGGCUCCUGGUGUUCCUGCUGGUGAUCAUCGCCUCGUCGGCGGGCAUCGCGGCGUACUGGGGCACGACGCCCGAGCGGUGGGAGGGCUACGUGGUGCUGGUGCCGGCGUGGCUGCUGGGGACGCUCGGCAUCCAGCUGAUGGUGCCGGCGGCGCGCGCGCCCAAGGUGUGGGGGGUGCCGCUCGUGCCGUGGCUGCCCUCGCUCUCCAUCGCCACCAACCUGUUCCUCAUGGGGUCGCUCGGCUCGGAGGCCUUCGUCCGCUUCGGUGUAUGCACCGCCAUCAUGCUCAUCUACUACGUUCUCGUCGGGCUGCACGCCACGUACGACGUCGCCCACGAUGUGUGCAGCGAAGACGAGCUAAAAGACUACAGCGACACCGAUGAUGCUGCUGCUGGUGAGAAGGCGGCAGUGAAAACGGCAGACGUCGAGAAGGCUAGCGCGGGAGACGGUGGCCGCUAA